AGUGAACGCUGGCGGUAGGCCUAACACAUGCAAGUCGAACGGCAGCACAGUAAGAGCUUGCUCUUACGGGUGGCGAGUGGCGGACGGGUGAGGAAUACAUCGGAAUCUACUUUUUCGUGGGGGAUAACGUAGGGAAACUUACGCUAAUACCGCAUACGACCUACGGGUGAAAGCAGGGGAUCUUCGGACCUUGCGCGAUUGAAUGAGCCGAUGUCGGAUUAGCUAGUUGGCGGGGUAAAGGCCCACCAAGGCGACGAUCCGUAGCUGGUCUGAGAGGAUGAUCAGCCACACUGGAACUGAGACACGGUACAGACUCCUACGGUAGGCAGCAGUGGGGAAUAUUGGACAAUGGGCGCAAGCCUGAUCCAGCCAUACCGCGUGGGUGAAGAAGGCCUUCGGGUUGUAAAGCCCUUUUGUUGGGAAAGAAAAGCAGCAGGUUAAUACCCCGCUGUUCUGACGGUACCCAAAGAAUAAGCACCGGCUAACUUCGUG
rnacentral:rRNA from 1 species